rnacentral:lncRNA from 1 species
AGGCUCACCAGAACCCAGGCAGUUAACUGAAGAUCAGCCCUCCGUGACCUUGCCAGUGACAGUUCCCUUGGCCUUGAGCCACUGAGAACUUUGGGGAUAUUGCCUCUUCCUCAAGAUCCGGGGAGCUCACUCCUCGAACAGGUGAAAUCUACAUUGCAGUAAGAAAAGAAUGGUUUAUUAUUGCCAGUUUUGGCCUCCUCAGUGCUCUCACACUCUGCUACAUGAUCAUCAGAGCCACAACUAGCUUGAAUGCUAAUGAGGUAGAAUGGUUUUGAAGAAGGAAAACACUGCUUUCUUACUGAUUGUCUUGAAGGGAAAAAGAACCUAUUUUUGUGCAUCAUUUACCAAUAAUGCCACUCAAGCAUUUAUUUUUUAGUACAUUUUAUUUUUCAUAAAAUUGCUAAUGCCAAAUAAAA